rnacentral:rRNA from 1 species
GACAGAGGGUGCGAACGUUGCUCGGAAUUACUGGGCGUAAAGCGCGUGUAGGCGGGGGCGCAAGUCCGUUGUGAAAUCCCUGGGCUCAACCCAGGAACUGCAUCGGAAACUGCGUGUCUUGAGUAAUGGAGAGGGAAGUGGAAUUCCCGGUGUAGAGGUGAAAUUCGUAGAUAUCGGGAGGAACACCAGUGGCGAAGGCGGCUUCCUGGACAUUUACUGACGCUGAGACGCGAAAGCGUGGGGAGCAAACAGG